rnacentral:rRNA from 1 species
GUCCACUGAACCUUAUCAUUUAAAGGAAGGAGAAGUCGUAACAAGGUUUCCGUAGGUGAACCUGCGGAAGGAUCAUUGUCGAAACCUGCCCAGCAGAACGACCCGCGAACCUGUGAUCUUGCCCGAGGGGGUCCGGCGUGGGGAGCUCUGGCCGCCCACGUUGGUCCCCUCCUGCUGCGGGGUGUGAGCAGGAUCCCUCUCGCUCCUUUGCGGCCGAACAACGAACCCCCGGCGCGAGCCGCGCCAAGGAAAAUCUAACGAGAGAGAGCGCUCCCGCCGUCCCGGACACGGAUCGGCUCGCGGGAUGCGUCCCUUUCUUUCAACAAAAAACCAAAACGACUCUCGGCAACGGAUAUCUCGGCUCUCGCAUCGAUGAAGAACGUAGCGAAAUGCGAUACUUGGUGUGAAUUGCAGAAUCCCGUGAACCAUCGAGUCUUUGAACGCAAGUUGCGCCCCAAGCCUUUAGGCCGAGGGCACGUCUGCCUGGGUGUCACGCAUCGUUGCCCCCCUACCCCCCCUCUUUGGGGGAUGGUCGGGCGGGCGGAGAUUGGCCUCCCGUGCGCUCCCGCUCGCGGUUGGCCCAAAUUCGAGUCUCACGGCGACCGUGCCGCGACGAUCGGUGGUGAAACAUGCCUCUCGAGCUCCCGUCGCGCGCUCGCGUCUCCGUGUCACGGGCUCGCGGACCCUUGUAAGCGCCUUCUCUUCGAGACGGUGCUCGCUUUGCGACCC